CCUGCAUGUCUUUACCAGAUGUGAUCAAAAAUAUGAUCACACCCAUCAGAAAGGCAGCUCAUAAAACAUGACACUGUGUCCUUACCUCAGUCACUGGGUCUGGCAUGGUGUAACUUCUGGCCCUUCCUCAGAGUCACAGUGACCAUGAAAGAAAAAGACUUUGGAUCCAUUCAGGACCUGGAGGCAGCCAGGACAGCACACUGAAGACCCUCAGGACAGAGGACUCCAGAGCUGCUGCGGGAAGCAGCCAGGACGAUGGGAUGAGUGUGUCCAAAGUGAAGCGGAUCGUGGAAAUGCAGCAAAGUGUUAAAUUUUUCGAAGAGCAGCUGAAGUUCAAGACAAACCAUCCCAGGGAAGCCCAGCAGAAGCAGCCACAUAGAGUUUGGCAAUCCGCAAUCCAAAGAUACUCAACGCACUUCUGUCAUCGCCAGAAACUCACCUGGACCCAAGCACAGAGAGCUUCCUCCACCCCUCAGAGAGCGAGAGGGCGACUGUCGCACCUCCAGGAAUAUGCAGGAGGGGCCGUGGGCCCUGAGCACCUCACAAAGUCAU
rnacentral:lncRNA from 1 species